rnacentral:tRNA from 1 species
GGGGAUGUAGCUCAAUGGGAGAGCAGCGGACUCUAAAUUCGCCGGUUGUGGGUUCGAGUCCCAUCAUCUCCA